rnacentral:lncRNA from 10 species
GUCCGAUGUCCGGGUUUCUAUGCCAGGCAGGGAUGAUGAUCCCUGUCACCGGAUGAUCUUAUCCCUGUACCCUCAGCGCCGCCGUCUGCAGUGGAAAAUGCUGUUACUGCUCGGAGGUGUUGUUGCUGUUGUCGUCGCUGUUAUUGUUAUUAUUUUGUGGUUGUGCACAGGAGUCACUUUCUUUAUUUAUUUGACUUUUUUUCGAAACCAGGUCUAGCUCUCUGACCCAGGAUGGAGUGCAGUGGUGUGAUCACAGCUCAUUGCAGUCUCCAACUCCCAGGCUCAAACCAUCCUCCAGCCUCAGCCUCCCAAGUAACUGGGACCACAGGCACGUACCACCAUGCCUGGCUAAUUUUUACCAUUCCAGGCACUGGAGCCAUCAGAGUACAAAACAGACGCAAACUUCUGUCCUCUUGAAGUCCACUCUGGGAGACAGGCGAUGACACACACAACAUAUGUAUCAAAGGUAAAAUGUGAUGUCUGGUAGUGAUAUAUGCUCUGAGGGAAAAGCAGGGGAGGGAGGAAGAAUGAGCUAGGAAAUAUUUAGGUAAGGUGGAUGGGCCUCUCUGAGAGGGGGCAUUGACCUGGGCAAUGAGAGGAAAAAUGCCCUGUGGGUGUCAGAGGGAUGUGUUCCAGGCAGAGGGAACAGCAUAUGCAAAAGUCCUGAGCUGGAGCCUGCACAGAGUGAGUGUUCAAGAAGCAGCAAGG